rnacentral:tRNA from 1 species
GCCCGGGUGGUGGAACGGUAGACACAGCGGACUUAAAAUCCGCGGGCGGGAAACCGCCGUGCCGGUUCGAGUCCGGCCCCGGGCACCA